GACGAACGCUGGCGGCGUGCUUAACACAUGCAAGUCGAACGGAAAGGCCCUGCUUUUGUGGGGUGCUCGAGUGGCGAACGGGUGAGUAACACGUGAGUAACCUGCCCUUGACUUUGGGAUAACUUCAGGAAACUGGGGCUAAUACCGGAUAGGAGCUCCUGCUGCAUGGUGGGGGUUGGAAAGUUUCGGCGGUUGGGGAUGGACUCGCGGCUUAUCAGCUUGUUGGUGGGGUAGUGGCUUACCAAGGCUUUGACGGGUAGCCGGCCUGAGAGGGGGACCGGCCACAUUGGGCCUGAGAUACGGCCCAGACUCCUACGGGAGGCAGCAGUGGGGAAUAUUGCACAAUGGGCGGAAGCCUGAUGCAGCAACGCCGCGUGCGGGAUGACGGCCUUCGGGUUGUAAACCGCUUUCGCCUGUGACGAAGCGUGAGUGACGGUAAUGGGUAAAGAAGCACCGGCUAACUACGUG
rnacentral:rRNA from 1 species